rnacentral:rRNA from 1 species
UACGUAGGGUGCGAGCGUUGUCCGGAAUUAUUGGGCGUAAAGGGCUCGUAGGCGGUUUGUCGCGUCGGGAGUGAAAACACUGGGCUUAACUCAGUGCUUGCUUCCGAUACGGGCAGACUAGAGGUAUUCAGGGGAGAACGGAAUUCCUGGUGUAGCGGUGAAAUGACGCAGAUAUCAGGAGGAACACCGGUGGCGAAGGCGGUUCUCUGGGAAUGUCCUGACGCUGAGGAGCGAAAGUGUGGGGGGAGCGAACAGG